rnacentral:lncRNA from 1 species
GCAUGGGGUCGCUCUGGCUAAAACAGCAUACAUGGAGAAUUUCAAAAGGCUUGCGCAUUAACGUGGUUAACUGUUCCACCGCGUGUUAUUGACUUUUUCCCUUCGUCCACUUUUGCGCAAAGGGAGAGUGUUGUAAGCGGUCCCUGUGGAUAUACUGUGUCUUCAUGAGGAGUUGAGCGCAAAUAAGGGGGCGGGUGAUGAUAAUGUGUGAAGAGUGGCAGUAACUUCUCACUGCACGGCAACAUUUUCCGUUCUUCUUCAGGCGAUAUGCCCUUUCUUUCUAAAGAAGCUCCAAGGAGGAAGGCUGGUGGUGCACGGCAACAUUUUCCGUUCUUCUUCAGGCGAUAUGCCCUUUCUUUCUAAAGAAGCUCCAAGGAGGAAGGCUGGUGGUGGACAUGGUGAAAAUGACAGGCAAUGACUUUGUAGGCGGUGUUUGUGUGCGAAGGUGCGUAAUGAAACUGAUUUUGGACAGGCUUCUGAUGCAGCAUAAUGGUCCAAUGAUCUACAACAAAACUGAGAGAGCUUUGGUGAGAAGUAAGCCAAUACUUGAUUACCACAAUACUAAUUACUUGCUACAAAUGAAAUCAAAAGUUGACAAAGUCAGAAACAUACAUUUACAAAUACCGCUUUUUUACUUUCAGACGCC